rnacentral:misc_RNA from 1 species
GAUGAAGAACGCAGCGAAAUGCGAUAAGUAGUGUGAAUUGCAGAAUUCAGUGAAUCAUCGAAUCUUUGAACGCACAUUGCGCCCUUUGGUAUUCCAAAGGGCAUGCCUGUUCGAGCGUCAUUUGUACCCUCAAGCUUUGCUUGGUGUUGGGCGUCUUGUCUCUAGCUUUGCUGGAGACUCGCCUUAAAGUAAUUGGCAGCCGGCCUACUGGUUUCGGAGCGCAGCACAAGUCGCACUCUCUAUCAGCAAAGGUCUAGCAUCCAUUAAGCCUUUUUUUCAACUUUUGACCUCGGGUCAGGUAGGGAUACCCGCUGAACUUAAGCAUAUCAAUAAGCGGAGGA